UCCUACGGGAGGCAGCAGUGGGGAAUAUUGCACAAUGGGCGAAAGCCUGAUGCAGCGACGCCGCGUGAGGGAUGACGGCCUUCGGAUUGUAAACCUCUUUCAGUAGGGAAGAAGCGAAAGUGACGGUACCUGCAGAAGAAGCGCCGGCUAACUACGUGCCAGCAGCCGCGGUAAUACGUAGGGCGCAAGCGUUAUCCGGAAUUAUUGGGCGUAAAGAGCUCGUAGGCGGUUUGUCG
rnacentral:rRNA from 1 species